rnacentral:lncRNA from 1 species
GUGUUUACAAGGCGCUCUCAUAAGAUAGGUUACUAUGGACGGCUGGUACGCGCGUUGGGUAGAUGCAGCCAUAGUGUGACAAACAUCAAUCCGGAACCCAAUCCGAUAAUCGAAUCUAGAUAUUGUUUCACGUACGUGCCACUGCCUGUUGAGAAUCUUCUGCGAUUGUCAAAGGUGAAAAUAGAAUAUUAUAAUAGUCUUUGGAAUCACAUGACGGUGCUGCAAUACAACCUCGAGCUGGGCGAUUUGAUUCUGGAACUGCAGAUAAUGAAGCGAUGUUUCGAUGUUGCGAGUUGAGCUCUGUGCCGACGAAGUAUUGAAGGUCGAUGCAGCAUUUUGAUCGGCGCAUGUCGGAUAUUGCGUUGGCGAUAUAAGUAAUUUUUCUGAGCGCAAUUCUUUGUAAUUGUGGAUUUAGCGCGAUGGUAUUGGUGGCAGCUUUGGUUGUAGCUUAGCUGGUGCUACCUUGUAUAUGCGAACAAGUCGAUAUAUGCAAUUGAAAACAUAUGGACACACGAAAACGAGUAAAAAUAUAUAUACGCACAAAUAAGGAGAAAAAAAUAAUGGAAAUACUCCUGCAAUAAUUCGAAGGAGAAAUAUGUAUUAAAUUAUAUACAAUAAAAUCACAGUUGAUCGAGCGAUGAAAGUCAAAAUAAAAGCCGGUGCCCCGACAAAACUCACAUCAAGUGUUCUAGCGACUAAAGUGACCAAAAUAACGAGGCAGAGCAAAAAGGACGUGUACCAGUGAGUCUGCGUCAACAAUAUUUGGACGAAGCGAGAAAGAUGCAGGUAGCAGCGGUAGCGACGACUAAGAAGGCCUGUUGCGCGCACCCACACCAAUCACAACAUCGCCCGAGAGCGAGAAGGAACAGGCGGCGAAGCGAAGAGGAGAACUCGAAAUAUCCGAAGAAGACGUGACGAGCGAUCCCGUUGUCAACAAAUGGCGCUUAAUUAAAUGUGUGCAAGUCGUUGGUUGGUUCAUUGGUAGCACGCUGACUUGAAGAUUGUGCGAAUGUUCUGGCAUGAGUAAGCGAUGAUUUGUGUGUGUUGGCCGCUUCGUAUGGCCGAGAAACUAAUGGGUUUAACGUUAUCAAAUGCUUUCUACUAAAGCGUUGUUACCGUACCCGCAGCUGGUUGCACGUAUUUGAUGAAUGGCUGUAUGGAAGAAAAUUUUUGUCAGCUAACGCGUGCGAUACGUAAAAGGAUUUGAGCAGAACGGCUACUUCUCAUCAAAAGGAGAGGGGAAGAGGAGUCCAAAUCUAUCAUAGUCGUUUACAGAACCUGGGUUAAUCAAAUGCAGAAGCUUUAUAAAUUCAUCUUACAUUUUAUGAUUCACUGUAUACUGACUAAAACCCAUAAGGACUGCUGCUACCCGAUGACUGCGGCCACAUACCAUCCAAUGUAAAAAGAAAAUAACUUCAUUUUCCCUCGACCAUCCGUGAUGUUUAGUGGAAAUCAAUUGAAAAAUUUGUAUGAAGGUGCUGGAAGAGUUUCUUAAAUAUGUUCGGAUUUUCCUUUCAUCACCGGACAUAAUUGCACUGAUUACCAUGGAUAUAACCCUCGGAUGAAGAAAAACUUACAAGGUUCACAGCUUUGAAGAAAAUCGUGGCUAAAAACCGACAUCGAUUUCCUCAGCCGAGCUACCUAUGUAAGCGCAAGCACCCUCUAAGUCUGAUUUCGCAUAAAACCUCCUGAGGAAAGACUACGCGAGGUACUGUUUGGCCGUUUUUGUGUCAAUUACUUGUCCAUAAACCACCAAGGCUCAAAAUUGCUCCAGCGUCGUUAAAUGCCGCCGAUGCGGAGAAAAACAAUGAAAUUCUUCACAUAUCUCAGCCCAGGGUGAAUAAUCAGAAAGAAGUAAUCCAGCCUUGGAGCGAACGAAAUGAAUCCAGUUAUGAUGAAGCGCUCACUAUUCACAUUGAAUCCGGAGAGAGAAAUUGGUCUUUCCUUCCGACAGAGGAGAAAGCAGAAACUAUGACUCUCCGAUCCCUCCUCCAGCAGGAACGGCGAACGCACCAUCGCCGCGAACGAUGAUCUUCACAACAAAUGGCUACUCAUGAUAGACUGGAUACCAAGACUCUUUAUUUACAUCGAGUAACCAUGUUCAAAAGAGGAUAUCCGGCCAACAAACGGACUAAUAUUGAAGCCAACGAUAGUGAUUUUGCCGGUCGCAGUCAUUAAGGUCGAAGCGGAAUUUGGUGCAUGUCCCCUAAAACAAUCAUCGCUAGGAAUCUUGAGUAAGAGUUGCGCCUAAAUGAAAUAAGUUACCGCAAUCAAAGAGGAUGACCACCCGACGAAAAUAUGGCUUCAAUAGAAGCAUAACAUGCCACGCAAUGGAAUUCAACAACUUCAUGCGCAUCCCUUCUUCGGCAACCAUCGACCCACCUAUCGCCACGCCAUAUUAACUGAUGAGAUUGGUGAGCCCACACUUUCACACAGCGUCUUCGAUUCACCUCAUUUUAGGCGCAGACAUGUACACGGAAUUGAUGAUGUCGGCCUUAGCCGGGGUAGUUCGGGGUAAUAAAAAGUCAGGAUAAGAACCCUCAAGUGCGAAAGUAACUAUUCUAUGCGAAAAAUUGCGCGUACGUUCCACAUACAUAAAUCCAAAAAAAAUCUGUUUUGAAUAUUGAAAUAAAAAAAAAAUAAAAGAGAACAGCAUUUGCUACAAGCAGCAGCGUCGACUCCGGAAGGCAUAACCGCUUAAUAACUUGCCACAAGAGAGGUUCUACAACAAACACCCCCCACACACACAAAGAUGCGGAUAAACAUACCAAAGACAAGGGAAGUAAAAAGAGCUACUUAGUAGUAAGCUGCAAACUUUUUAAUAUCCUUUAAAAAUUAUUGAAUUAUUAAUUCCCGUAGA